rnacentral:lncRNA from 7 species
UUUCUGUAUCUUUACAAUGAUGCUAUGAUCAAUACUAGAAGAUCAUUGACACCGUCUAUACUUAAUAAAAAUAGGACAGUUGCAGUUGUACCUCCCUUUCCUUUAGAGUCUCUAUAAGUACACAUUUCACUUGUCACACCUAUAAAUGCGGGACACCUAAUCUACAGUUCGAGUUUCAUGUAGUUUCGUGUUAUUUGAUGACGUUGAAGUCAUUGGCUUACCAAAAAUGAAGAGUGUCGUUGCGAGGAUAAUUGUUAAG